rnacentral:misc_RNA from 1 species
UAGGUACUUCAAUUGCUUGUUCUAGACAAAAGCAAGGUUGCAAGGCUACUAUAAUAAAUAAAUGAAACAUGAAGUACACUCCUUGGUGCUGUUAUUUAAGUAAAUUAUUAGAUAGGCUAUGAGACAACCCAAUUCCAUUCCAAAAUUCUAUACAGUUACAUAUCAAGGACAAGGCUAAAUGUAAGUAAAGAUUCCAAUCCAAAGUCUCAUUUCAUGAUUCAACAGCUCCCCCCACAAGGCAGAAUAUAAUUCCAGUUCAAACCUUAGUUCAUUUGCAUAAUUUAGAACCAAACAAUAGAAAAGUGCUGCACAAUGAUUCACAACCUGUAAUAACUUGUGCUCUCUCCAUGAUGCUAUUCUAUUAUAUGCCACGCUAAUUUCUCAAUUAUUUCACUAAUGAAAUAACAAAACCACAAAAACAGAAACUCCAAACUAGAAAGAGAUGAGAUGAAAAAAACAUGUAAAACAAAAUUCUUUUUCUGGUUGGUUUGCUCUACUGAAAUUAGAACUAAGUUUUCACCAAAAGAAAAAAGCUUUAAACUUAUAUGUGAAACCCUAAAAUAAAUCUGUACCCUCAACUAGUUAAUGAAAUUAUGCAAAAGGUGUUGAAAUGCUUAGGCGUAUAAAAUACGAAACCCUAAAAAAAUGACAAAAGCCAAGAAAAAUCUUACCAACUUGAAAAUUGAUCCGUUCUGGCCUGAUAAUAAAGAAGUAACCAAUCUAUCAAUCUAUAAUUUCAGAUUAGAAAAAGUAAUAGCAUGAUAUACAUGAAUUAAAAAUUGAAUCAAAUGAAACCUGUCAAAUCCACAAAUAAAAUUCUAUAAUUUACAACCUAACCUUUGAGACUUCGGUGAACCACGAACUCCACUGAGUCUGCUUUUAUACUUCAUAAAUUUUGUGUUUUCACCACAAAAAUCAUCAAAUCAAAGAGAGCAAGAGCACAUCACAGAUUGACUUGAGAUGAGAAAUAGAAAGAAAAAGGAGUGUUUGGUUAGCUUUAGACACUAAUAGCAAGGUCACAUUUGAACAUCGAGAUUGUGGCUAUUUGGCAUUCGACUCAUUGUUAGAGAUUACAGGUGAGAAGGAGGAGGAACAAGCAAUAUAGAGAGAAAGUAAGGGAGGAUUAAUUUGUUCUUUUUGUUUUCAG